rnacentral:rRNA from 1 species
UACGAAGGGGGCUAGCGUUGCUCGGAAUCACUGGGCGUAAAGCGCACGUAGGCGGAUUGUUAAGUCAGGGGUGAAAUCCUGGAGCUCAACUCCAGAACUGCCUUUGAUACUGGCGAUCUUGAGUUCGGGAGAGGUGAGUGGAACUGCGAGUGUAGAGGUGAAAUUCGUAGAUAUUCGCAAGAACACCAGUGGCGAAGGCGGCUCACUGGCCCGAUACUGACGCUGAGGUGCGAAAGCUAGGGGAGCAAACGGG